rnacentral:lncRNA from 1 species
CUCCCCCAGCGCAUCGGCUGUCUGUGUCACGGAGGACGCCCAAUGGUCCAGCAGAGCCAAUGCACUGGGCCGGAGGAAGCUCUGGUAUCCUGACCCCGGCCGGCGGUGGGGCAGGGGGCUGAAAGCAAGGUGCACCAAACCCGUUCUCCAGGGCCGCUAGCCGUCUGCUGGAGACUCCGAGCUGCUCAGCCAAGGCUUGCAGUAAACACGCUGAGAUUUGCGCUAUGGCCGCAGAGAAAGGAGGGGUACCUAACUCAAAAGAGUCGUUUCUGCCCUCGAGUCUCAGCGUUCAUCUGUACGAUGGGAACCAAGAUUCCGCCCUUGCGUGGCGAGGGUUGCUGCGAGGCUCCUGCGGGAGGAGACGGUGAGACUCCGUGACCAGAUAAAGUGCCGCGGCGACGACCUGGCGGGCACGGGAUCCAAAGCGGGAAAGUCUUACCGAUGAGAUUGGAACAUACAAGGCCAGGGCAGAGACACUGAGCUCCCCUCCUUCCCUCAUCGUUCUCUAGAUCCCUGCGGAGUAAGUGAAUGCCGAGGCGGAGAGAGAAAAACGAAAGCAGAAAAGAGGAAGGAGGGGGCCCUGAGGCGGAGGAGGAAGUUUGGCCGCAAGGAGGCACCUCGAUUCCCCCAAACUCAGUGUGAGCCGCCCCCCACCCCCGUCAGAUCACUAUGGAGAGGGGCAUCAGCCUGCUCUGAACUGUGGACAAGAGUGUCAGUUCUCUACGGUACUACCUCCCUGACUUUAGACGAAAGUGAGGAAAUCAUUUGGAUAUUGUCAUGUGAUGAUCAGAUAAUUUGGGCAAACCCAGAUUUGUGUCCGGAUUAUCAGAUUUAAUAUCUCUAAUAUAGCAAGUUUUCAUUUGAUUCUCCAAAGACAGCUGUAAAUUCUCUCUCUCCCCCUUGCUCAUUGCCUCUGGUCUUUUCUCCCACGUACACACACACAGUUCCUUGUUUUCCAGUUAAAGGGAACUUCCUUCCAGGAAGAUGCUAUUUUCCAGAUCUCAGCUGACCUGGACUUUAGGCUAUUAACGGAGAUUCCCAUAGACAGUAAAAUACAACAAACUUGCCACCGUGAAAAAGUCCAGAGAGUAUGCUUGUGGUGGGAACAAAGGAGCAGAGAGAAGAGGCUGGCGCCUCGGCGUGAUUAGACCGUCUCCUGGGGCCCGCCGCAACCACGCACAC